rnacentral:lncRNA from 1 species
CCAAACAUAAGUCAUAAACGGGUGCCUUGAGACUUACUUGUGGUGUUUUUCCUCGAAACAAUCAAAAGGGUGAUCCAAAUAGUUGUGUUGGGCGGAGUAUUGUUACAUCACCAAUUUUUAAUCAUAUGUGGGGAAGGCUCUUUUUUAGAUUGUUUAUGGGAGGUUACUACCUGUUAUUCAACAAUUUUUUUACUAGGAGAAACUAAGGUAGAACAGGUAUCACAAUAACUUUCAGACAGAGAUGAAAUGAUAAGGCUAUUGAAGAAUAGAUUGUGUCGAGCUCAAUAGGUCAUGAGUAAAUGUACCAAUAAGCAUUGUAGGAACUUAGAAUUUGGAGUUGGGGAUGCAGUUUUUCUCAAAUUGAGACCACUUAGGCAACAAUCAGUGGCAAACAAGGCAUUUGCAAAGUUAUCUGCCAGAUAUUUUGGUCCUUUCAUCGUUCUAGCAAAGGUAGGAGCUAUAGCUUACAAGCUAAGUCUGCCAAAGGAAUCAUGAAUACAUCUAGUAUUCCAUGUUUCUCAACUGAAACGAGUGGUAGGUAACCAUCAUGUAAUUGUUGCUAUCCCUACUCAUCUAGAGGUGAAUGAAGGACUCUUGGUGGAACCUGAAACUAUUUUACAACACAAGCAAGAUCAAAAGGAAAAAUAAACAGUGGAACAAGUUUUGGUGAAAUGGAAGUGGAAAGGGGUUGAAGAUGCUAUAUUGAUGAAUUUAUCAGACUUCCAGGGACAAUUUCCCUACUUCAGUCUUAAGGACAAUACUGAUUCUCAACAGGAAAGUAAUGAUAAUGCUAGGAAAGUAAUGAUAAUGCUAAGGGCUCAAAAACAAAAAUUUUUAAGGUGUAUUUCAGGAGAAGGGAGAAACAGAAUGCACACAAUUGACAGUCAUACAACUGGCAGAUUUUGAGAAUAAUGGAUACGGACAAGUGGCAGAAAUUAGUUACAAGAGAAGAUUUCUUUCCAGCAUUUAAGAAGGAAUUUGGCAGAGAGAAAGGCAUCCUUUUCAGUAUAUUUUCUCUAGUCGAGAGAGGGCAGAAGGUUAUCUUAUGCACAGGAGAAUAUCAUGCUCUUGAGGGGCUAGUUACAACCAUUUCUUUUCUUUCUUCUUUAUUUUGUGUCUAAGGAGCAAUUUUGUUGAGUUCAUUUUUUUUCUAUUUUUGUUAAGAGACUUGAUUUGUAUUUCCUCUUUAUGAAGACACUCAACCAAUCAAUACAAUCAUUUCAUCCGUAUCUCUAUAGAUUAACUCUCACUCUUUACUCUAUCAAAGCCAUAUAUGUAAAUUUGUAUAUUGUAAUUCUUAUUAUUGAUGGUAAUAAAAUAAUAUAUUUGUUUAAAAAUUUUUUCUCUUUAAUUGUUUAAAAGCCAAAUAAUCUAUCCACCAUACUCUUAUUUAUAAUAUUAGACUCUUUAGUUUAAUUUAAUUAGACAUCUUAUUUAAUUUAAAAAUAAUACAUAAAUAAGAUAUCUAUUUUAUUUAGGCAUCCACCUGUUAAGGAAUAUGUAUCAGAGCCUCUCCAUUGAUGUGUGGCCUCCCUUAAAUAUUUCACGUUUCAGUAAAGUUUUGGGCAUGAAGGGGUGUGUUGAAUCUAUAUUGAUUUGUGUUGACCAAUGUAGAAAGUUCCUAAUUAGGAGGAUUCAGAUUUUUGGGAUCCUAAUUACACUUGAUUAUAUGGCUUGAUUAUAUAGAUUUUAUUCUUAUUAUAAAUAUUCCUAAUUUAUAUUGAUUUUUUGUGUAUAAAUAUUCAAAUCUUGUAAAAAUCAAUUCAAUUGGAAUAAAAUAAAAAAUUCCUCCCAAAAUUCUUCAUGGUGUUAGAGUUUUGCCAACAUUAUUUAGUAUAAGGAUUUAUGGUACUGUUCACAGAGUUAGGAUUUUUAUAGGUCAAGCUUCUAGGCGACUCUAUAGAGGAAGUUAAUUGACACCGCUCAUACCAGGAGAAUACCCAUUGGAUUUUCGACCUUCCUCCGGCGACGUGCCUCCAUUCCGGCCACGCACGUGAGCUCACGUGCCACCACAGACUCUUCGUCAUUUUCACACGCUGGCGGGUAGGUCCUUCUCCGGUGCCCUUUUCCUAUGGUGCUCCUUUUCGACAACCUCCCCUUCAUGUCGCGGCUCUGACCAGCCCAAUCCCAUGCCUUUUUGCCUUUGCUUCUCUAAUGAACAAUAGCUCUUUAUCUAUUUUGACAAAAAAAAGGGUAGUUUUUUUCUUCUUCUUGACAUGGCAAAUAAGAAAAUGACUAGUGUGGAAAAUGUAAGGGUCUCCGAUAAUACUUUCAUUUCAUCUAUUGAUUUUACUUCAUAGAUUAUUGAUUCUGGCGCAGAUAGAUACAUGACAGGCUCCUCUAAAAGUUUCUUUAAUUAUCUUCCAUGUCUAUAAAAGGAUGUUGUAAGAAUAGUCAAUGGUUCUUUUAAUUCAAUAUCUGGAACCGGUUCUAUUGUUUAUACUCUCAAUAUCAAGCUAUCCUCUGUUUUUCAUAUUUCUUGUUUCUCUAUUAGCCUUUUAUCUAUUAGUGCUCUCACCAAAGCACUUAACUGUAAAAUUAAAUUUUUUUCCUGACCAUUAUGUUAUUCAGGACCUUCAAUCUGGAAAGAAGAUUGACAAUGGUAGACUGUACGAUAGCUUAUAUAUGUUGAAAGGAAAUCUGAGUUUAAAUUCACCUCGAACUCUUUUUUGAAGAAAUCAGGAUGUCAACUAGGAAAUCAUAUAAUGGCAUUGACGGUUAGAACACUCAUCCUUCUUUAUUUUAUGAUGCUUCUGAGUAUGCUAAGCAUAUAAAAACCUUUUAUCCCUCCAAUAAUAAUAGGUGUACGAUCCCUUUUGUGACCAUCCAUUCUGCUAUUUGGGGAUCUACUCAAACGGUCUCACUAUUUGGUAAUUAUUGAUUUGUUACUUUUAUUAAUUACUGCACUUGCAUGACUUGGGUUUAUUUGAUAAAGACAAAGAGUAAUGUGGUUUCUUGCUUUCAAUUUUUUUACAAGAUAAUUUAUACUCAAUUUGAUGCUAAGAUAAAAGUUUUGAGAACUGAUAAUGGUACAGAGUACAUGGAUGACCAUUUUUCUGCUUAUCUAGAGUCUAAUGGAAUACUGCAUCAAACUAAUUGUCCUUACACUAGUGCCCAAAAUAGUAUUGCUAAAAGAAAAAAUAAGUACCUGUUGAAAGUAGCCCGAUCUCUCCUUUUCACUAAAAACCUAUUGAGGAGAUACAAUAUUAGUGACAGCCUAUCUCAUUAAUAGAAUGCCUUUAAAAGCCCUUUAGAGAUGCUAUAAGGAAAAAAUGCUUAUAC